GGGGAAUACAGUUGGAGCAGUUUCUUUAGCUUUUCUUCUUACCUAUAUUGAUAUUACCAGAAUUUGUUUUAUAAUUUAUUCUCUAAUUAUGGCUCACAAUAAUACACUAACAAUGCGACAGGCACUGGACUAGUUUACAAGCACAGUACAACAGCGCUUCGAAAUCCUCUUAGUCUUCUUGUCAUUUGGCUGUGGGCUGAAUAAAUCCGGAACCUUGAUCCUUUUAGAGCCAUCAGGAAGACGUUUGCAAUGAGAAUGAUCUUCCACACCCAUAAAAUCUGCGCAUACCUGAUUCUUAAGGGUUCCAACCAACGCGUCCUGGCAACCUAAUGCAUGAACAUAUUCCAGAUUGGGGCAUUGGAGCAGCAAUCUUUCUGGAUUCAGGUUGGUACAAGAGUUCAGAUUCAAAUCUUUCAGUUCUGGGCAAUUCAGAUAUAAGGCAUCUAAGCCAGAGCAGCCCCAUAAGCUGAGUUUCUUCAAGCAGGUAUGCUUGAUAAUCAGUUUUUGAUAUAUAAGGUGUUGUUUACUAUUGGGAGUUCUUUGUAACUGGAGGUCAUUAUUUUCCUGAGAUGUUGGAUUGUCUAAAUCAGGAUCAGAUAUGGUCAUACCACAAUCCAUGAGCUCUAGAUUAGGCAACUGAGCUGCAGCAAAUUGAAUGCCACUUGAAGUGAUAUUUGGACAAAGAGCAAGGAGAAGUUUAGACAAUGUCUCGGGGAAUAUGUUGCAUAUCAUUCCAAUGCCACUAUCACUAAUGCUGGACCCACUCAAAUCAAGCAACUCAAGGUUUGAGUAGCUUGAAGCGAUAGCAGCAACAGAUGCAUCAGUUAUUUCUGAACCCAGUACAAGAGAGAGCAUCCGUAACCCCCUUAGAUUUGCUGCUGUUAAAGCAAGCACAACAGCAUGUGUUAGGCGGAUGGAGGCAAUAUGAAUGUUCUGGAGUCUCGGGCAGCUCCUUCCAAGACCAUCGACCAUGAGAGUAAGAUCGGUGGUGUCAUUUUCUUGGUGAGAAAAAUCCAGGGAAACAUCCUUCAAGUUGGGGCAGUUGAAGACCAUCUUAGCAUGACAAUAGAGAUCUGAAAGCGAAAGAGUUGAAAGACUGGUUGAGCAAAGAGUGAAACCCCCAAGAUUAGAGCAACCUUCCAUCUUGAGAUUAGUAAGAGAUCUUUUCUCAGCAACAAAACGACCCAAUUCAUCCCCAGUGAUCCGAUUGACUGAGGUAUUACACAUAAGUAUCUCCAUCGAAUCCAGUUUAGGACAGGAAAAAGCAAUGCAGGCCAACAUGGUAGCAUCAAUGUCACUUUCCAUUCUAAGAGAAAGCUUAACAAGCCCUGGACAUUUCUUUAACACCGACCCGACAAGUCCAAUCUGGGCAUUUACGGGAACCCUAAGUCUAAGCUCCACAGCAGACUUCCAGAUCCUUCUAGAACUUUCCAACCACCCCUUACAAACCCUCGCCGAUGAAAGCAACGCCGGAGGCGGUAAUCUCUUAAACACUUCCCAUAAACAACUCGAAGGCAACGUCCCUAUCCCCGAUCCGGACCCAACUCGAUCCGAUUCGUUAUCCAGAUCGGAGAAAUCCCCCUCGUCAUCAGAUCCAGGUGAAUCAUUAACAUCAACGUCAUCAAAUGAAAGUGCUCGCCGGAGCUGUGGGAGUACAUGGCGUUGCGGCAGGGGAGGUGGCGGCUGAGGACGAACAACAGAGGGUGGGGAAGCUAAGAGUGACGAAUUGGGAUUGGGACUGGGAUUAUCAAUCGGAUUAAGGUUCUUAGGAAAAUUGCAAACAUGGCCUUUUUUGGGUACACCGCAUCGGCCACAACUGUAGCUACCCC
rnacentral:misc_RNA from 1 species